AAAACUCUAAGUUUGAUCCUAGCAUAGAAGGAAUGCUAGCUAUAUGCUUAACACAUGCAAGUCGAACGUUGUUUUCAGGGAGCUAAGCAGAAGGAAAAGAGGCUCAAUGCUUUGUCUCACCUUUCAAGGUGGGAAGAGUUGAGAACAGAGUGGCGAAUGGGUGCAUAACAAGUGGGAAUCUACAGAACAGUUUGGGCCAAAUCCUGAACCAAGCUAAAAAGUGUUGUUUCAUGAGCCUACAUAGUAUUAGGUCGUUGAUUAGGUAAAGGCUCACCAAGCCAAUGAUGCUUAGCUGGUCUUUUCAGAUAAAUCAGUCAUACUGGGACUGAGACAUGGCCUAAACUCCCAUGGAGGGCAGCAGUGAGGAAUCUAGGAUAAUGGGUGAAAGCUUGAUCCAGCAAUAUCGCGUGAGUGAAGAAGGGCAAUGUCACUUUUGAAGCUCUUUCGUUGAGUGCACGAUCAUAAAAGAACUCGAGGAAGAAGCCACGACUAACUCCGUGCCAGCCGCCAUGAUAAGACUGGGGCCCAAGUGUUCUUCAAAGUGACUAGGCAUAAAUGGCACGUAGGCGGUGAAUCGGGUUAAAAGUUCAAGUCGCUAAAAAUUGGUGUUUAGGGGUGAAAUCCAGAGAUCUACGAAGAAAGGUUAAAAUGGAAGGCAGCUCUCUGGGUCCCUACUAACAUGGGGUGUAAAAGCAUAGGGAGCGAACGAUGAGGCCUCUACCUGGGGCGAUCACGUUUGGUCUAGGUAGAUCAGGGGCCCAGCUAACGCGUGAAACACUCUACAUGGGGAGUACGGUUGGAAAACCGAAACUUAAAGGAAUUGACUAGGGCCUGCACAAGCAAUAAAGCAUGUGGUUUAAUUUCAUACAGGUGUUGUAUUGUUGUAGUUAGCUCAUGUCGUGAGAUGUUUGGUCAAGUCCUAUAACGAGCGAAACCCUCAUUUUGUCUUGCUGAGACAUGUGCCUAAGGAUCAACUCUUUGCAACCAAAGUUCGUCGAGGAGCCAAGUGAGGUGCCAGCGCGACUAAUUGAGUGCCAGCACAUAGCAGUACUAUGAGUUAGAAGGGAGUCUUAUCCUUUCGAAGGAAGCACUUGAGAGUCUGCACUUUAGUUUGAUUGUUGAUAUCGCGCUUUACUAAAUCCACAUUCAAGCGAGCCAUCCGAUGGUAUGGUACGAAAUGGGUUUAGUAAUACCCUGCUAAAACAGGUCCUCAGUAUAGUGAAAGGUGUGUGCCUACUCACGAAGGACUGCUAGGGAGAUACUGGAGGAAGAUGAGGAUGACGUCAAGUCCGCAUGGCCCUUAUGGGCUUGGCCACACACAUGUACAUUGGCAAUGACAAUGGGAGGCAAGGCUGUAAGGCGAAGCGCAUUCGGAAAGAUUGCCUUAGUUCGAAUUAUUCUCGGUAACUCGAGAACAGGAAGUUUGAAUCACUAGUAAUUACGAAUCAACAUGUCACGGUGAAUAUGUACCCGAGCCCUGUACAUGCUGUCCGUCACACCCUGGGAAUGGGUUUCGCCCGAAGCAUUGGACCAAUGGUAACCCAUGACUUCUGUGUACCACUAGUGCUAUAAAGGCUUUUGGUGGUCUUAUUAGCGCAUAC
rnacentral:rRNA from 1 species